rnacentral:lncRNA from 1 species
GGGAGAAAGAUGUGUCCGUGUGGGCCUGGGGUAUGAUGAGGAAUGGACACUGGAAUCCACAAUGUAAAGUAGAUAAUAAAAAAGAAUUGUGGGAUUAACUCUCUUCCUAAAGGAAUGAGAACAGCAAACCUGUCGUAGUCGUGGAAGUUAUGUUUUCAAACAAUCUUUAAUUUGAUGGGAUUAAAUAGAAAGAAAAUGGAAUUGUGAAAUUUGCAGGAAAGUGGAUAUUCCUCAAAAGUAUAAGCUAAAAGAAUUCAAACUCAGACAGAAAGCCCUGCACAUCCCCUUGGAUGCGAGUUCCAGUGUGAUGGAUACAUGUUCACGCGGGUCCUGCAGGUGAUGAGAAGGGGAGAACAGAGGCAAAGGGACAUGCAGGUCAAGGCAGAUCAGAAAGACUGGUCUGGUGAGAGUAAACUUGGACUUGACCAUGGCUGCUGUUAUUUGGGACUGUUGCCACAUCCACAGAAAUGCAUGGACCAUGAAAGAGUCUGGGUGGUGACACCAGCAGGUCACUAAGAGUGUCACCAGAUUGGAGGAACUAGAAGUGGGAAGCUGUGCCUUCAUUCUUCUUGGUCAAAGACCAAAGCAUUCGUGAAGUUGAGGGUGAAUGAAAGAGAAGUAAAAAGGAAAAGAAAGACAUGACGGCUAUACGUACGCUGGAGGAGAAAGUUUGUCAUAGAUAUGUAUACCCAGAGGCAGACACACCAGGGAAGGAAAGGGAGAGAGAAGAGAGGGGAACCAGCUGCAGCAGCCAGAGACCGAAGAUACAAAAAGCAUGCGUAACCAAAAGGUCUGGAUUAUAUAGGGAAGUUCCUCUCAGGGAAGGGCAGCCCAGCCCCUGGCCUGGAGUUAGGGGAAGGGUAGAGGGUGGGAUAUGUGAGCCAUACUUUGUAACAUGUAGGGACUGAGGGAUGCUGGGAGAACCUGACAGCCAGAUCUGCUUUGAUAGUGUUAAAUAGGCACCCCAGCCUUUGCCCUGGCUUGAAACUUAGCAGAGGGUGCUAG